AUCACCAAGAAGCUGGCUGGCGGGAUCGGGGACAGUGCGGCAUGGAUGUCCAAUAUCAGAAACGAGUUAGGCCAGGUGCAGGGUUGGAAGAGUUGUGCCAAGGCGUCGUCACUCGGUACUAGAAUGCAGGCCAAGCUGAACCUGAGGCCAUCUAUGUCGACCGAGACUGCUGCAGCCAGUCAGGCGUGUCUUCAGUGGCUAAGCUGUUUCACCCAUGGCAAACUACAGUGCGCUUGGACAGCUUCCACUUCAUGAGGCGCUUUAACUGCGGCCUCACAACAGAACACCACCCUCUGUAUGGUAUUUUCUGUGCCAAGCUUUCCUCCUGCAUUUUUGCAUGGGACCAGGAGGAUGUGCAACGCCUGAAGGAGGCCAAGAGAGAAGAGUGGAAGAGCAGCCACAGCGGGCAUACUCCCACUGAGGAGCAGCUCAUGGCCACCAUCAGUCCAGGCGAACUGAAGAGGCACUGCAGGAGGAGGACCCGUGGAGUGGAGGAGACGCGGGGCAUGAUCUCAGGGCUGCUGGAAUCAGUGUGGGAGCUGACGGACACCACAGGGCUGCGUCUGGUGAGCCAUGACAGCAUGCGCCAUGUCUGGGAAGUGCAGCAGAAGCACCUGGAGUGCCUCCAAGACCCUGCAGGUGUGGCACUGUACACGAAGGUGGGGACACUCCAGAAGGGCGGCAAAGAGCUGGACGUCCUAAGGUGUGGUAGGGGGUCCUCCUCCCUGGAGAGUUUUCACAAACACCAGUGUGCUUUUAUUCCAGGCUGGCGGUGCAAUGCUGUUCACACACAGAUGUACAUGCUGGAGGGAGUAUCGAGGUGGAACAUGGGCCGGGCCAAGGAGGCAGUAGAUGUGGAGGGGGGCCUCAACCCUCAGAAGCUUUGAUGUCCGCUUGAUGUCCCACCUCAGCAACUUAAGCCAGCGCGUUCUUGGUUCCACUCUGGUGCCAGAGUUCACUCCACCCGGGAAACCUACUAGUAAGAGAGAUCUCAGAGCAACACUGAUUGACCAGAGUAUUACAUCCCCUCCUCCUCUUUUUCUUAGGCAC
ensembl:lncRNA